rfam:Gorilla gorilla gorilla genomic chromosome, chr2A, whole genome shotgun sequence
GCUGGGUGUGGUGGUGCGCGCAUGUAGUCCCAGCUACUUGGGGGCUGAGGCAGGAAGAUCACUUGAGCCCAGAAGGUUGAGGCUGCAGUGAGCCAUGUUCGUGCCACUGCACUCCAGCCUGAGCAACAAAGUGAGACCCUGUCUCCU